rnacentral:rRNA from 1 species
UGCGUAGGUGGUGAGGUAAGUCGGAUGUGAAAGCUCGGAGCUCAACUCCGAAAUGGCAUUGGAAACUACCUUGCUCGAGGGUUGGAGGGGGGACUGGAAUGCUUGGUGUAGCAGUGAAAUGCGUAGAUAUCAAGUGGAACACCAGUGGCGAAGGCGAGUCCCUGGACAACUCCUGACACUGAGGCACGAAAGCUAGGGAGCAAACA